rnacentral:pre_miRNA from 1 species
AUUAAGGUUAUUUUUCAGUUUUUAGAUAUAAUAUUUAAUUAUUGGUCUUAUUAAAAAAAUUUUACGAUUAGUAUUUUUAUUAUUACUAGAUGGUAAAACAUAAAUAGUGCUUUAUGCACGAUUAAUUUUUUAUUUUUAAUAAAAUUUUAAAUAAAACGAAUGAUCAAACUUUGGAUACGGAAAUC